GACGAACGCUGGCGGCGUGCUUAACACAUGCAAGUCGAACGCUGAAGCUCAGCUUUUGUUGGGUGGAUGAGUGGCGAACGGGUGAGUAACACGUGAGUAACCUGCCUCCUUCUUUGGGAUAACGCCCGGAAACGGGUGCUAAUACUGGAUAUUCACUGGUCUUCGCAUGGGGGUUGGUGGAAAGGGUUUUUCUGGUGGGGGAUGGGCUCGCGGCCUAUCAGCUUGUUGGUGGGGUGAUGGCCUACCAAGGCUUUGACGGGUAGCCGGCCUGAGAGGGUGACCGGUCACAUUGGGACUGAGAUACGGCCCAGACUCCUACGGGAGGCAGCAGUGGGGAAUAUUGCACAAUGGGCGCAAGCCUGAUGCAGCGACGCCGCGUGAGGGAUGGAGGCCUUCGGGUUGUGAACCUCUUUCGCUCAUGGUCAGGCCGCAACAAUGGUUGUGGUGAGGGUAGUGGGUAAAGAAGCGCCGGCUAACUACGUG
rnacentral:rRNA from 1 species